UACGUAGGGGGCAAGCGUUGUCCGGAUUUAUUGGGCGUAAAGAGCGUGUAGACGGCCGCACAGGUCCGUUGUGAAAACUGGAGGCUUAACCUUCAGACGUCGAUGGAAACCGUGCGGCUAGAGUCCGGAAGAGGAGAAUGGAAUUCCUGGUGUAGCGGUGAGAUGCGCAGAUAUCAGGAAGAACACCCGUGGCUAAGGCGGUUCUCUGGGACGGUACUGACGCUGAGACGCGAAAGCGUGGGGAGCGAACAGG
rnacentral:rRNA from 1 species